rnacentral:lncRNA from 1 species
AGGUUCAUAGAUAGGGGUUAGGUUAUCUCAUAACUAUGUGGGCGGAAGCGAGAGGGAGGGGAAUGCCUACGUCACUCGUACGACAAAGUCAAGUUUGACAGUUGUUUGUGGUUAUAUUUCCGUAUAUUUUUGUGGAAUUUUCUUAUAAUAUCGUUUAUUUGUUUAAUAUUUGUUGAGUUUUAAUCAUAUAAGUACUAUAUUGCUAUAAUUACUUAUUUGGGUCCUAUACAAAGGCAGUAAUGACUUGUGAAGUGUGUUUUCGUAACCGUGUAAAAUGAGUGGUGGUAACAUUUGUAGCAUAGCUAUAUGUAAAAGCAACUCCAAAAUUCCUGAACCAGAUGGAAACAAAAUAAUGUUUUUGGACAUUUCCCAAAUACCUUAACAUUAUCAAACAAUAAUGGAUAAUAAAAUGUUACAAGAUAAAUGGGCCUCUAAACAUAAGAAAAUAGGUAGCAAACAUUUCCUCGUUUCUGAAUAUGUUAAUAUUAUGUUACGUCUUUUUUAUAUUUUAACCUAAUAAUAAAUUAUUUAUAUUAUUCGUUCUUUUGUUGUUGCAUACCACCAAAAA